UUUUCAUAAUCCUCUGCUGGACCCACUCCAGGAGUUCCAUGUCUUUCUUGUACUGAGGAACCCAGAACUGGACACAGCAUUCCAGGUGAAGCCUUGCCAGGGCUGAGAGGGGCAGGGUCACCUCCCUCAACCUGCAGGAUGUAGUACCAAGUUCAUUAGGUGGUCAAGUAUAACUUCAGGAUCAUCAGCCACCAGAGACCACUGAAGGGACAUCUGGGACAAGAGAACACAUGUGCCAAUGGGAGGAAAUACAAGCUAAUGACUCCAGGAAAGUCAUAUAUAUAUGUCUUCUGAAAAACCUAUGUAGUAUCUGAAAUAUAGUAUGCACACAGGAACCUUUUCUGUACUCAGAAUGCAUGGUAUUUCAUAUGUCUGGUGCUAAAUAAAGAAUUCUUGUUUCUUAAUGCUA